rnacentral:piRNA from 1 species
UGCUCCUUCACUGUGAUGAUGGAAUCUG